rnacentral:rRNA from 1 species
GACGAACGCUGGCGGCGUGCUUAACACAUGCAAGUCGAACGGUAAGGCCCUUCGGGGUACACGAGUGGCGAACGGGUGAGUAACGCGUGGGUGAUCUGCCCUGCACUUCGGGAUAAGCCUGGGAAACUGGGUCUAAUACCGGAUAGGACCACUGCCUGCAUGGGUGGUGGUGGAAAGCUUUUGCGGUGUGGGAUGGGCCCGCGGCCUAUCAGCUUGUUGGUGGGGUGAUGGCCUACCAAGGCGACGACGGGUAGCCGGCCUGAGAGGGUGACCGGCCACACUGGACUGAGAUACGGCCCAGACUCCUACGGGAGGCAGCAGUGGGGAAUAUUGCACAAUGGGCGCAAGCCUGAUGCAGCGACGCCGCGUGAGGGAUGACGGCCUUCGGGUUGUAAACCUCUUUCGGCACCGACGAAGCGCAAGUGACGGUAGGUGCAGAAGAAGGACCGGCCAACUACGUGCCAGCAGCCGCGGUAA